rnacentral:rRNA from 1 species
UCGAACGGUAACAGAGAGAAGCUUGCUUCUUUGCUGACGAGUGGCUCACGGGUGAGUAACGCGUGGGAAUCUACCUUGUAGUUGGGGAUAGCCCGGAGAAAUCCGGAUUAAUACCGAAUAAGAUCUACGGAUGAAAAGGUGCCUCUGCUUGCAAGCACUUGCUAUGACAUGAGCCCGCGUUAGAUUAAUUUGUUGGUGGGGUAACGGCCUACCAAGACUGCGAUCUAUAGCUGGUUUGAGAGGAUGAUCAGCAACAUUGGGACUGAGACACGGCCCAGACUCCUACGGGAGGCAGCAGUGGGGAAUAUUGGACAAUGGGCGCAAGCCUGAUCCAGCAAUACCGCGUGUGUGAAGAAGGCCUUAGGGUUGUAAAGCACUUUUAUGUGGGAAGAAGGGUUGAUAGUUAAUAGCAUUCAACUUUGACGGUACCACAAGAAUAAGCACCGGCUAACUCUGUGCCAGCAGCCGCGGUAAUACGGAGGGUGCGAGCGUUAAUCGGAAUUACUGGGCGUAAAGGGUACGUAUUGCGGCUUAAUAAGUCAG